AACGAACGCUGGCGGCAGGCUUAACACAUGCAAGUCGAACGCCCUGGCAACAGGGAGUGGCCGACGGGUGAGUAACGCGUGGGAACGUGCCCUUCGGUUCGGAAUAACUCAGGGAAACUUGAGCUAAUACCGAAUACGUGCGAGAGCAGAAAGAUUUAUCGCCGAAGGAUCGGCCCGCGUCCGAUUAGCUAGUUGGUGAGGUAAUGGCUCACCAAGGCGACGAUCGGUAGCUGGUCUGAGAGGAGGAAUAGCCACACUGGGGCUGGGACAAGGCCCAGACUCAGGCGGGAGGGAGCGGUGGGGAAGAUUGGACAAUGGGCGCAAGCCUGAUCCAGCCAGGGCGCGUGAGAGAUGAAGGCCAUAGGGUUGUAAAGCGCUUUCGCCAGGGACGAUAAUGACGGUACCGGGAUAAGAAGCCCCGGCUAAAUUCGUGCCAGCCGCCGCGGUAA
rnacentral:rRNA from 1 species